rnacentral:lncRNA from 1 species
ACAAAUAUAUAAUUUAAAAAUAAAAUAUUUUAUAUAUAAUCAAAUGAGAAUCACAAUCUUAAAUAGAAUUUUAGAAAGGUUGUUAAAUAUGUAAAAGAAAAGGAAAGUAUAAUAUUAAAAAAAGAUAUUUAUAUCUUCAUAUCCUAUUAAAAUUAUCAAAAAUAUUUUUUAAAAUAAGUAAAAAGUCGGACUAAAACUGAACCCACUGCUGUCAGGAUAUUGUUUGUGAAAGCAGUAGUGUCAAGUAUUACCGGGAAGCAAGAGACACAGUUAGUAACGAAAAGACUCCAUCAGCAGAGAACAGGCCUUGUUUGAUGAAGAGGCAAAAUGGAAUAGAUCCUUCAACAAAAUUGUAUAAACAUAACAAAGUAAAAAAAAAAAAAGGUGUGAUUCCAGGUGGAGAGAGAGAGUGAGACAAGAUGGCAUCUGGGUCUAAUGAAGAAUUAGCA